CCAACAGGGAUUGCCUCAGUAACGGCGAGUGAAGCGGCAACAGCUCAAAUUUGAAAUCUGGCCCCCCGGGUCCGAGUUGUAAUUUGCAGAGGAUGCUUUUGGCGCGGUGCCUUCCGAGUUCCCUGGAACGGGACGCCAUAGAGGGUGAGAGCCCCGUACGGUUGGACACCAAGCCUAUGUAAAGCUCCUUCGACGAGUCGAGUAGUUUGGGAAUGCUGCUCAAAAUGGGAGGUAUAUUUCUUCUAAAGCUAAAUACCGGCCAGAGACCGAUAGCGCACAAGUAGAGUGAUCGAAAGAUGAAAAGCACUUUGAAAAGAGGGUUAAACAGCACGUGAAAUUGUUAAAAGGGAAGCGCUUGUGACCAGACUUGCGUCCGGUGAAUCACCCAGCUCUCGCGGCUGGGGCACUUUGCCGGCUCAGGCCAGCAUCAGCUCGCCGUCGGGGACAAAAGCUUCGGGAACGUAGCUCUCUUCGGGGAGUGUUAUAGCCCGUUGCACAAUACCCUUCGGCGGGCUGAGGUACGCGCUCCGCAAGGAUGCUGGCGUAAUGGUCAUCAGCGACCCGUCUUGAAACACGGACCAAGGAGUCAACCUUAUGUGCGAGUGUUCGGGUGUCAAACCCCUACGCGUAAUGAAAGUGAACGCAGGUGAGAGCUUCGGCGCAUCAUCGACCGAUCCUGAUGUUCUCGGAUGGAUUUGAGUAAGAGCAUAUAGGGUUGGACCCGAAAGAAGGUGAACUAUGCGUGUAUAGGGUGAAGCCAGAGGAAACUCUGGUGGAGGCUCGCAGCGGUUCUGACGUGCAAAUCGAUCGUCAAAUAUGCGCAUGGGGGCGAAAGACUAAUCGAA
rnacentral:rRNA from 1 species